rnacentral:rRNA from 1 species
UACAGAGGUCCCAAGCGUUGUUCGGAUUCACUGGGCGUAAAGGGUGCGCAGGUGGUCGGGUAAGUCUGACGUGAAAUCCCGCAGCUUAACUGCGGAAUGGCAUUGGAUACUAUUCGGCUAGAGGGUUGGAGGGGGGACUGGAAUUCUCGGUGUAGCAGUGAAAUGCGUAGAUAUCGAGAGGAACACCAGUGGCGAAGGCGACUACCUGGCCUGUUCUUGACGCUGAGGCGCGAAAGCUAGGGGAGCAAACGGG